rnacentral:rRNA from 1 species
UACGUAGGUGGCAGCGUUAUCCGAAUUUAUUGGGCGUAAAGGGAACGCAGGCGGUCUUUUAAGUCUGAUGUGAAAGCCUUCGGCUUAACCGGAGUAGUGCAUUGGAAACUGGGAGACUUGAGUGCAGAAGAGGAGAGUGGAACUCCAUGUGUAGCGGUGAAAUGCGUAGAUAUAUGGAAGAACACCAGUGGCGAAAGCGGCUCUCUGGUCUGUAACUGACGCUGAGGUUCGAAAGCGUGGGUAGCAAACAGG